UACGUAGGGGGCAAGCGUUGUCCGGAUUUAUUGGGCGUAAAGAGCGUGUAGGCGGCUAGAUAGGUCCGUUGUGAAAACUCGAGGCUCAACCUCGAGACGUCGAUGGAAACCAUCUGGCUAGAGUCCGGAAGAGGAGAGUGGAAUUCCUGGUGUAGCGGUGAAAUGCGCAGAUAUCAGGAAGAACACCAAUGGCGAAAGCAGCUUUCUGGGACGGUACUGACGCUGAGACGCGAAAGCGUGGGGAGCAAACAGG
rnacentral:rRNA from 1 species